rnacentral:rRNA from 1 species
GACGAACGCUGGCGGCGUGCNUAAUACAUGCAAGUCGAGCGAACGGACGAGAAGCUUGCUUCUCUGAUGUUAGCGGCGGACGGGUGAGUAACACGUGGAUAACCUACCUAUAAGACUGGGAUAACUUCGGGAAACCGGAGCUAAUACCGGAUAAUAUUUUGAACCGCAUGGUUCAAAAGUGAAAGACGGUCUUGCUGUCACUUAUAGAUGGAUCCGCGCUGCAUUAGCUAGUUGGUAAGGUAACGGCUUACCAAGGCAACGAUGCAUAGCCGACCUGAGAGGGUGAUCGGCCACACUGGAACUGAGACACGGUCCAGACUCCUACGGGAGGCAGCAGUAGGGAAUCUUCCGCAAUGGGCGAAAGCCUGACGGAGCAACGCCGCGUGAGUGAUAAAGGUCUUCGGAUCGUAAAACUCUGUUAUUAGGGAAGAACAUAUGUGUAAGUAACUGUGCACAUCUUGACGGUACCUAAUCAGAAAGCCACGGCUAACUACGUGCCAGCAGCCGCGGUAAUACGUAGGUGGCAAGCGUUAUCCGGAAUUAUUGGGCGUAAAGCGCGCGUAGGCGGUUUUUUAAGUCUGAUGUGAAAGCCCACGGCUCAACCGUGGAGGGUCAUUGGAAACUGGAAAACUUGAGUGCAGAAGAGGAAAGUGGAAUUCCAUGUGUAGCGGUGAAAUGCGCAGAGAUAUGGAGGAACACCAGUGGCGAAGGCGACUUUCUGGUCUGUAACUGACGCUGAUGUGCGAAAGCGUGGGGAUCAAACAGGAUUAGAUACCCUGGUAGUCCACGCCGUAAACGAUGAGUGCUAAGUGUUAGGGGGUUUCCGCCCCUUAGUGCUGCAGCUAACGCAUUAAGCACU